UAUAAUAGUGUACAACAGUGUACUACAGAAUAGGUACAUGUAUAAUAAUGUACAACAGUGUACUACAGAAUAGGUACAUGUAUAAUAGUGUACAACAGUG